GUGGGCUACAGUCCACAGGGUUGCAGAGUCGGACAUGACAGAAGAGACUUAGCACAGGGGUGCAGGUCUGCACUCUGCAAAAGUGGGCGGAGACUCAGCCCCACUCUCUGAGUCCCCUUUUCUCCAUUGCUCUUUCCUCACAACUCAGAUCCACUCAUUCCAACAUACCCCCCAUCUACCCCUUCAGGUCCUGGUGGGUGACACAGCUCUAAU
rnacentral:lncRNA from 1 species